rnacentral:rRNA from 1 species
CAGCAGCCGCGGUAACACGAAGGGUGCAAGCGUUAAUCGGAAUUACUGGGCGUAAAGCGUGCGUAGGCGGUUUGUUAAGUCUGCUGUGAAAUCCCCGGGCUCAACCUGGGAACUGCUUCUGAGACUGAACGACUAGAGUACGGUAGAGGGUGGUGGAAUUUCCGGUGUAGCGGUGAAAUGCGUAGAUAUCGGAAGGAACAUCAAUGGCGAAGGCAGCCACCUGGGCCUGUACUGACACUGAGACACGAAAGCGUGGGGAUCAAACAGGAUUAGAUACCCCGGUAGUCCCUGUCUCUUAUAC